rnacentral:rRNA from 1 species
UACGGGGGGGGCAAGCGUUGUUCGGAAUUACUGGGCGUAAAGGGCUCGUAGGCGGCCAACUAAGUCAGACGUGAAAUCCCUCGGCUUAACCGGGGAACUGCAUCUGAUACUGGAUGGCUUGAGAUUGGGAGAGGGAUGCGGAAUUCCAGGUGUAGCGGUGAAAUGCGUAGAUAUCUGGAGGAACACCGGUGGCGAAGGCGGCAUCCUGGACCAACACUGACGCUGAGGUGCGAAAGCGUGGGGAGCAAACAGG